GAUCGCGUAGCUCAGUUGGUAGAGCAUUGGGCUAGUAUUCCAAAGGUCGUAGGCCCGUUUCCCACCGUGGUCA
rnacentral:tRNA from 1 species